UUGAAUUGAAGAGUUUGAUCAUGGCUCAGAUUGAACGCUGGCGGCAGGCUUAACACAUGCAAGUCGAACGGUAGCAGGAGAAAGGUUGCUUUCUUGCUGACGAGUGGCGGACGGGUGAGUAAUGCUUGGGAAUCUGGCUUAUGGAGGGGGAUAACGACGGGAAACUGUCGCUAAUACCGCGUAUUAUCGGAAGAUGAAAGUGCGGGACUGAGAGGCCGCAUGCCAUAGGAUGAGCCCAAGUGGGAUUAGGUAGUUGGUGGGGUAAAUGCCUACCAAGCCUGCGAUCUCUAGCUGGUCUGAGAGGAUGACCAGCCACACUGGAACUGAGACACGGUCCAGACUCCUACGGGAGGCAGCAGUGGGGAAUAUUGCGCAAUGGGGGGAACCCUGACGC
rnacentral:rRNA from 1 species